UUCUGAGUUUUCUCGUUUAUGUUAAACUUGUAUAUACUAAUUUCUCAAUCACUUUGGAUGACAGAUCUAGGUAAGUGCUUCUGAGUUUUUUUAUUUUUUGUUUUUCGUUUUUACAGAUGUAAAUCGGUAGUGACGAUGCUCUUUGUGAUCAUGUGGAUGAGGGUUUGUGGAUACCAAUGACCUAUUCUGUCCAAAAAAUGCUUCCAAUCAUUCUUAAUACUCU
rnacentral:lncRNA from 1 species